rnacentral:rRNA from 1 species
UACGUAGGGUGCAAGCGUUGUCCGGAAUUAUUGGGCGUAAAGAGCUCGUAGGCGGUCUGUCGCGUCGGCUGUGAAAACCCGAGGCUUAACCUCGGGCCUGCAGUCGAUACGGGCAGACUAGAGUUCGGUAGGGGAGACUGGAAUUCCUGGUGUAGCGGUGAAAUGCGCAGAUAUCAGGAGGAACACCGGUGGCGAAGGCGGGUCUCUGGGCCGAUACUGACGCUGAGGAGCGAAAGCGUGGGGAGCGAACAGG